UACGGGGGGGGGCAAGCGUUGUUCGGAAUUACUGGGCGUAAAGGGCUCGUAGGCGGCCAACUAAGUCGGAUGUGAAAUCCCCAGGCUUAACCUGGGAACUGCAUCCGAUACUGGAUGGCUUGAAUCCGGGAGAGGGAUGCGGAAUUCCAGGUGUAGCGGUGAAAUGCGUAGAUAUCUGGAGGAACACCGGUGGCGAAGGCGGCAUCCUGGACCGAUCACUGACGCUGAGGCGCGAAAGCUAGGGGAGCAAACGGG
rnacentral:rRNA from 1 species